CGAGGCUCUGGGAAGAUGGCAAGCUGUCA
rnacentral:piRNA from 1 species